rnacentral:rRNA from 1 species
AUUGAACGCUGGCGGCAGGCCUAACACAUGCAAGUCGAACGAGUGGCGGACGGGUGAGUAAUGUCUGGGACACUGCCUGAUGGAGGGGGAUAACUACUGGAAACGGAAGCUAAUACCGCAUACCAUCGGAUGUGCCCGGAUGGGAUUAGCUAGUUGGUGGGGUAACGGCUCACCAAGGCGACGAUCCCUAGCUGGUCUGAGAGGAUGACCAGCCACACUGGAACUGAGACACGGUCCAGACUCCUACGGUAGGCAGCAGUGGGGAAUAUUGCACAAUGGGCGCAAGCCUGAUGCAGCCAUGCCGCGUGUAUGAAGAAGGCCUUCGGGUUGUAAAGUACUUUCAGUGGGGAGGCGUUACCAGCAGAAGAAGCACCGGCUAACUCCGUGCCAGCAGCCGCGGUAAUUC